AGACGCUGAGGUGGGAGUACAUGUGAGGGAAAUUGUCUUCCAUUUGGGUCAAAAUUAUCCACAGUGUGGUGCACUACAUCCCCCGACAAUGGAUCUCUAUAAAUCAUCAGCCGGCGUCACGACGGUUAAUGUCAUUAAAAUUCGACUCAAAUCAAAACCUCUUCCACUAAUGAACGACGCGGGAGUUGUUCGAUUCGUGCGUGACAGAAAGAGCGGGAAUUGAGAUUUGAAGCUUGGAGCGGAAUGGUUUGAGUACGAAAGUCUCUCAAAAAUCUGCACCAUGGAGUAAUGAUUACCAUGACUUUAUGCUAAUAAUAUAAGUUGAUUUGAUUUUUGUAAAACGUUUAUUUUGAAAUUUUAAAUAUUUAAAAGGCAGCAAUAAAACAAUUAUCGAGUUAGUCAAAUGAAAACAUCAAAUAAAUAUUAAAAUCUAGUCGCUUAAAA